UAGGGAAUCUUCCACAAUGGACGCAAGUCUGAUGGAGCAACGCCGCGUGAGUGAAGAAGGUUUUCGGAUCGUAAAGCUCUGUUGUUGGUGAAGAAGGAUAGAGGCAGUAACUGGUCUUUAUUUGACGGUAAUCAACCAGAAGGUCACGGCUAACUACGUGCCAA
rnacentral:rRNA from 1 species